rnacentral:rRNA from 1 species
GAUGAACGCUAGCUACAGGCUUAACACAUGCAAGUCGAGGGGCAGCGGUAUCGAAAGCUUGCUUUCGGUAGCCGGCGACCGGCGCACGGGUGAGUAACGCGUAUCGAACCUGCCUCAUACUCGGGAAUAGCCUUGCGAAAGUAAGAUUAAUGCCCGGUGUUUUCAGAGUCCCGCAUGAGGCUUUGAACAAAGAUUUAUCGGUAUGAGAUGGCGAUGCGUCCCAUUAGCUUGUUGGCGGGGUAACAGCCCACCAAGGCAUCGAUGGGUAGGGGGUCUGAGAGGAAGGUCCCCCACAUUGGAACUGAGACACGGUCCAAACGCCUACGGGAGGCAGCAGUGAGGAAUAUUGGUCAAUGGGCGGAAGCCUGAACCAGCCAAGUAGCGUGCAGGAAGACGGCCCUCCGGGUUGUAAACUGCUUUUAGUUGGGAAUAAAACGGGGCUCGUGAGCCCCCUUGCAUGUACCACCAGAAAAAGGACCGGCUAAUUCCGUGCCAGCCGCCGCCGUAA